rnacentral:siRNA from 1 species
CAAUGACGCCACAUAACAGCCA